UCCAAGGCUGGUGCUCUAUCCAUUGCGCCACCUAGCUGCCACCUGUUACUAGGAUUUUUAAAAGUUCAUUGAAGUGAUAAAAAGUACCUCAGAGAGCUAUGGAAAUACUUCAUGCAAAAUGCCAAUCUAGACAAAUAAAUUGAGUUGGAAUACCUAGCCUACCCAAAAUGAAGUGCAUAAGAAACAUAUGAAUCCAUGCUUAAUAUGGGUCUAAUAAAUUUAUUGAACCAUGUAUUAAAGGUGGGUGCAAUGGGGAGAGAAGUGUUGAUUGGUCAAGAGUUCAAUUAUGAAUGUUAAAUUACUUAAACAUCAAUUAUGUCCAGAUAACCCUCUUUGGGUUGUCACCUCCAUAAAGUGGCUCCACUGUUUUGGACCACUUUCCAAGUGGAAAAAUAGAGAGUUGACAACAUCUUCUAGUAAUCAACAUUUCCCCUUAAAGGUUGGCAAAAUUUAGAAUCUUAAAAGUUAAGAAUACUGCAUAUUUGAAUUUAACCAGAAGGAAAUGUUAUUAAAGUUAUUAAUUUGGGGGAAUAAGCCAGUAAUUUGCUAAGUGUUCAAUGGAACACCUUGAAUUUCUUUGACAAAGCAGUUAGGGUGAAGAUCCUGCAUUUACCAAAUGUUAAUGGCCUAGUGGGGAUGGGAGGGAAGCUGUAUAAUUGUCCCACUUUAAAAAAAAAAUUAAAAAUAUUCCCAUGAUAUUUACUUGGUGUUGGGUUUAAGAGAGGUGACAGCCUUAAGAUUUUUGUGGUAUUUUCAAGUGAGGCAUAGUGCAAGUUGAAUUUUGAACAUCCCUGCAUUAGGAUAAGGCAUGCUAAUUGCCUUAGCAAAUAGCAAAGUUGUAACAAAAUGAAACAGGUAAUUAAUGUUUGGUCUUCAAAACACUUUUUUUUUUUAUUUAACAGGUGUGGCUAAAUGCUGGUGCUGACAAAUUACUAGGCGCCAGUGGAAUGGACAACAGAAGUUACCUUGCUGAAUAAAGUUAUUGAGGGAAAUGGGAGUCUUAAAGAAAACUACAAUAAUGUUGACACCUAACCAGAUUGCAUCAGCAGUGGCUGAAAGAUGUAUAUAUUUCGAAGUCUCAGACUAGCACGAGGGUGGAUCUGGGACCGUUCUCCUUGAGUUAGCAUUGAGUUCUCAAGUUGGAUGGAAAUAUGUGACCUAGAAGCUGAGAACAAUCAUCCCAGAAUGAAAAUUUCACUGUAAUGCAUCUAUGGGGGAGGAAGUACAAUACAACGUCAAGAACACUGGCUCUGGAACCAGAGGACCUGGCUUCAGAUAUUGCCUCUGAUCUUUACUACCUGUGUGACCUUGUGAUCACAACCUCCCUAGGCCUCAGUUCAUUAUGAGGGGAUAGAUUAGAUGGCCUCUCAAGUCCCUUCUGACUGUAGAUCUGUGUGCCUAUGAUUUAAUUUAUUCCUAGUGCUCAUUUGGCCUUAUGGUAAACAAUAAGCACCAUGGGGUCUUAUAUUUCUAUAUCUUUCAGUCAAUUGAGUGAUGAUAUGUGGUCUAAUGUACAAUAUCAUUUGCAAAAGCCUGCCUGUUACCUACUAAUAACCUCAUCAAGGAUACCUUCCAGUUGGAUAUAUAUUAUUCUUAUUAAACUUUUGUAUAAAUAGGAGAGUAGGCACAUAAUUUGGUAGUUGUUGAUACCCCCUUAGUAUCAACCUCCCAUUUUCCAGGUAUUAAUAAGGUCUGAAAUACUUUUCACACUUUUGGAUUCAUAGAUACCUAGUGAAUCGAUCCUUCAAUGCCCUCAUGAUUAUGUAAUUGCUCUUCAGUAUGGAUCUUCUCUGUAUAUAUACCUGUUCUUAUCAACUACUUUUUCCUAUCCUUGUGAUCUCUUAUCUACCUUCUCUCUAACCACAUCUGCAACUGUGAAGUUCAAGUCUCUUAGUAUUGUGCUUCUACUUUCCUUGAGGAUGAAAAGAGGUUUUUGUUUGUUUGCAAAUAUUUUGCAAAUUAGAUAUUUUCUGUCUUUUGUUUGCUGACCUCCUUAUUUCAUCUUGAAAUGCUCUCAGAUGAUUUUGCUUAGCUGGAUCUUUCACAAAACUUUCUUUAAAAUUAUUUUCUUUAAAUUGUUAUUGAUAUUUUUUCUCUUACAUUGCCUUCAUUUUGCAACAUAUCCCUCUGUCUUCCCCUUCCCAGAGAUUUCUCUCUUAUAACCAAGAUUAAAAAAGCAAAGAAGGGAACAAACAUUAAUCAAGCAUCUAUUAUGUAAUAGACACUGUGUGAAGGGGGAAAAAUAUCGUUUCAGCAAAACUAACCAAUCAAUUGAGUCUGGCAGUCCAGAACCUACAUUGGUCCAUAUUCUUAGUCCUCACCUGUAGCUGUGUGACCCUGGGCAAGUCACUUAACUCCACACAGUCAGGAAGAUGCAUUUUUUCAUAUCUUUUCCAAAGCCAAUCUUGGUCAUUAUAGCUAUACAAUAUUUUCAUUUUGGGGGGUUCUCUUUACAUUGUUGUACUCAAACUGUAUACAUUCUUUUCCUAUUUCUGUUUACUUCACUCUGUUAUCAGUUUAUCUAACGCUUCCCAUGUUUCUCUGAAGGCAGCCAAGUGGUGCCAUGAAUAGAGCACUCGACCUGGGGACCUAAAUUUAAAACUGACCUCAGACUCGCUAGCUGUGUGACGCUGGACAAGUCAAUAUUAACUGCUGUCUGUCUCAGUUUCCUCAUCUGUAAAAUC